rnacentral:rRNA from 1 species
ACUCCUACGGGAGGCAGCAGUGGGGAAUAUUGCACAAUGGGCGCAAGCCUGAUGCAGCCAUGCCGCGUGUAUGAAGAAGGCCUUCGGGUUGUAAAGUACUUUCAGCAGUGAGGAAGGUGGGUAUGUUAAUAGCAUAUUCAUUUGACGUUAGCUGCAGAAGAAGCACCGGCUAACUCCGUGCCAGCAGCCGCGGUAAUACGGAGGGUGCGAGCGUUAAUCGGAAUUACUGGGCGUAAAGCGCAUGCAGGUGGUUUGUUAAGGUCAGAUGUGAAAGCCCGGGGCUCAACCUCGGAAUUGCAUUUGAAACUGGCAAACUAGAGUACUGUAGAGGGGGGUGAAAUUUCAGGUGUAGCGGUGAAAUGCGUAGAGAUCUGAAGGAAUACCGGUGGCGAAGGCGGCCCCCUGGACAGAUACUGACACUCAGAUGCGAAAGCGUGGGGAGCAAACAGGAUUAGAUACCCUGGUAGGCU